UAUGACUACUGGCAGGAUCAACCAGGUAAUAGAUUCCAUUCACUAGGCAACACUUUCACACAACAGGAACACUUUGUACAAAAACAUCAACAACAACAACAAAAUGCCCAUCAUUGAAAGUUGCCGUUGUUACACAAACUGAACAUUAACACAGCUGGUAACAACAUCAUCAACAUACACAGCAAUAGCCAAAAUUUGCAACGUGUUUGAAACACACACACACACACAAUUGCAAAAAUGGGUAGCAAAAUCAACUUUUUAUUCACGGUCAAGAGAGAGCAUUAAAACAACACUGUUGACCGAACAAUAACAUUCACAUAGCAGAAUAAAAAUCGUUACAAGAUGAUUAGAUUGCAAAACAUUUUUGCACAUCUUAAUUGACAAUGCAGAACACAUGAAGAGCAACAGCAUACACGCACUGCGCAACACUGGUCACAAGCAACAACCGGCACACGGUGACAACCACCGACACUCAAACAAUACAUGAAUAAUAUGCACUGCUGACGGAGAAAACAGACAGUCAUACUACCACUUAGUAAGAGCAUCAUAUGAUUGUACCAAUGUGUAUGAAGCAAGUUAAAACGCUAAAAAUAACAAUUGGUAUUGAAACGCAACUGCUAGUUUCAACAAAUAAGAAGCACAUCAGCUGUGCAACUACGACUGAUUCGAUGCGUUCUAAGCAGACCACUGAUGCUUUGCAUUUUGCAAACUCGCAAAGAGAUUUGGCGCAAAAACAAAGACAACACAGGACUAAGCAUCUUAGAACAGCAUUCCUCAGUCAAAAAUCACCAACGUGGAAAACACAACCACAAAUUUCGAGGUGCCGUGUCAACCUCGUGCCAAACCAUGCAUAGGUGCAGGUCGAACAUUUUUUUUCGUAUCCCAAGUUUUUUGAAAACCUCAACAGAACUACAAGAUCAGACAUAGAAAUCUGACAACAUCGUUCAACACAUUGAUAAUGCAACAUUAACGUUGUCUAAAGCAAGACAACAUAAACAUUGCAUAAAUCAAAACCCAACUUUGUGACAGAUGACACUAAAUCAUAUGGUCACAUUGUCACCAUAUAGAUUUAGGUCAAACUUGGAUCAACAGGAGUUCGAGGUGUCGCCACCCUCUCCCCUAUAUAUGCAGGUCGAACUUUUUUCGCAUCCCAACUAUUUUCACAAAGUGCACCCAACAGUAACGACACUGUCUGCAACCAGACUACUUUGUUACUGUUGACAGCUGGACAAUAUCGUCAUAGUUUACAAACAACUAUGUUGAUAUUGUCACAGUCACACAACGACUUUGUGAUAGUUGACACACACAAAUUUAUAUGGUCACAUUGUCACCAUAUAGAUUUAGGUCAAACUUGGNCUACUAUCUUAAUAUUUUUGUUCUGUGUGCAGUUGUCGUAUGUUUUCGAAAGGGAAUCCGGUUGAUAUUCCGGAACCGAGUAACGGAGACAAAGAGUAGCGCUUUAAUCUCUUUCGGGUUGGCGUUCAACUCAAUCGCGCGGUAACGCAAGCGAACUCGGAAAAUGACCGUCGUGAGUUUCGAAAAGAGUUUUCUUUUCUUUUUAAGGGACGCAUUCCCUGGAACCGGGUUGUCCGGAGAUAGGGAUUCUGGUAUCCAUAAAACGCCGACUCUUUCACGGUGUUCGGAGCGCUCUCGUCGGUACGUGAAAAUCCGAGCGACGCCUGGUAAAUCUCGUACUUGGUCGUACUGAUAUCCGCAGCAGGUCUCCAAGGUGAAUAGCCUCUGGCCGAUAGAAUAAUGUAGGUAAGGGAAGUCGGCAAAACGGAUCCGUAACUUCGGAACAAGGAUUGGCUCUAAGGGCUGGGCCGAUCGGGCUGAGGUUUCAAGCGUGCAGUGUAUGCUUGGCUGAGUUGUGUUGAGGAUUGAUUCGCUUGGUGCCGUUUGUUGAACCAAUCGGCUUGCCAGGUGGUCAUGUCUGAAGCAAAGCUGGCCGACAGACCGGCACGUGCAGAACCUGAGCUGCGCGGCUGUCAGUUCAUUUGUACAGACCGUUUCGGUCGGCAUUCAACAGCCAACUUAGAACUGGCACGGACACAAGGAAUCUGACUGUAUAAUUAAAACAAAGCAUUGCGAUGGCCGAUGAUCGGUGUUGACGCAAUGUGAUUUCUGCCCAGUGCUCUGAAUGUCAAAGUGAAGAAAUUCAAUCAAGCGCGGGUAAACGGCGGGAGUAACUAUGACUCUCUUAAGGUAGCCAAAUGCCUCGUCAUCUAAUUAGUGACGCGUAUGAAUGGAUCAACAAGAUUCCUUCUGUCCCUAUCUACUAUCUAGCGAAACCACAGCCAAGGGAACGGGCUUGGCAAAAUCAGCGGGGAAAGAAGACCCUGUUGAGCUUGACUCUAGUCUGACUCUGUGAAGAGACAUGAAAGGUGUAGCAUAGGUGGGAGGCUGCAGUAGGGCGCUGUUCGGUGUCUCUGUGGUCGCCAAUGAAAUACCACUACUUUGAUCGUUUCUUUACUUAUUCGGUAAAGCGAAAAAAUUGUGGCCAAUUUGGCGGUCUGUCCGCUGUUGGUCAUUGUUUUAAUGUUGGAUUGAAGCUUUGUUUAUAGCCGUCGCUUUGUGUCGCCGUUUGACGCAUUGGCUGGGUGCGUAUUUGUGCGCGCGCGGUAAUGUUGUCAGCGGAUGAUCGGCGAUUGGUUUGAAGUGAUUCGCUCCGGAAACAGUGUCAGACGGGGAGUUUGACUGGGGCGGUACAUCUGUUAAACGAUAACGCAGGUGUCCUAAGGUAAGCUCAGCGAGGACAGAAACCUCGCCUAGAGUAAACGGGCACAAGCUUACUUGAUUUUGAUUUCCAGUACGAAUAAAAACCGCGAAAGCGUGGCCUAUCGAUCCUUUUGAUUGUGUAGAUUUCAUGCAAGAGGUGUCAGAAAAGUUACCACAGGGAUAACUGGCUUGUGGCAGCCAAGCGUCCAUAGCGACGUUGCUUUUUGAUCCUUCGAUGUCGGCUCUUCCUAUCAUUGCGAAGCAGAAUUCGCCAAGCGUUGGAUUGUUCACCCACCAAUAGGGAACGUGAGCUGGGUUUAGACCGUCGUGAGACAGGUUAGUUUUACCCUACUGAUGACAAGUCGUUGCGAUAGUAAUCCUGCUCAGUACGAGAGGAACCGCGGGAUCAGACAUUUGGUUCAUGCGCUCGGCUGAAAGGCCGGUGGCGCGAAGCUAGCAUCUGCAAGAUUAUGACUGAACGCCUCUAAGUCAGAAUCUUUUCUAGUCAUUGGCAACGAUAAGUUGCGUCCGGACUCGAUGCGAGGAAACGAUUAGGCUUUGCUGUGUUUUGCGCAGCGAAGCCGUUAUCAUACCACGGUAGCAGGCAGUUGGGAUGGUUACGAAAAAGCAAUUUUUUGAAGUCAGUUGAAUUCAAUCAAACUGCUAACAAUCCCACUGCGAAUGACUACACUCGAAUCU
rnacentral:rRNA from 1 species